CCAGCAUUGGUCUAAGUACUUUGCAUAUAUUGACUCCUUCACUAAUAUUAACCCUAUGAGCAAGGUCCCACUAUUUUCUUCAUUAGGAAAGCAUCACGAAGGGUAUGUACAGAGUAAAUAGUGAUCAAAGCUAUUUACUGGCUAGAGCUCAGCACAGACCUUUAAACUCAAAAGAGUCAAAUCCAAGACAAACAAAAGGAAGUGAGACUUUAUACAGUGGGCAGUAAAGCCUGUAGAAUGCACCACCUAAAGUAACAGUACAAGUUGAGCUGUAAAGAGACUAAAGGAUUUAAGCUACAUUUGUGGAAGGUAAAACCAAGAUAUAUUACUAUAAGAGAAUCAUAUGAAAUAUCUUUAGCCUUUGAAAUUACCAUUAGGAAGAAAACCACACCCUCUCCAAUCUGCUGCCAACAUAUUUCUGAGUCCCCCUAUAAAAAUUCUGGGUUGGAUGGACCAGAAAUUUGGCCAACUAUGGCUUUUCCUUUUUAAUUAUGACAUAACUAGGGGACUGGUACAUGAAUUCUUUGUGGGCAUCUCAAGAUGGUUGUAAUUUAUACUAUGCUUGAGUCUGUUUUAAUUGAUAGCCUGAACUACACACAAUUCUAUUUAAAGCAAGCUUUGUACUCUGUAGAAAUGGAAUCCUUUUGAAAAAUGACUUGCUGAAGGAUGAAUUGCCACAAAGAGAACAGUUACAAAUGGAGAUAUUUCAGGAGCAGAGGUCUCCUCACACCCUCAAAUGACAGCUGGAGGGCCAGCAGUUUUCAUCCAAGUCAGGUAACCCCUUUGAGCUUCGUUUUCCUCUUCUGUCAACUGGAAAUUAUACCUUUUGCUUCUCUUACAGUUUAGAACACUUUCACCAAUAUUUACCUAUUUGAUUCUCACAGAC
rnacentral:lncRNA from 1 species